rnacentral:misc_RNA from 1 species
ACUAAAGUCAUUUUUCAAGAAAGAGAAAGAAAGCCCAGAAAAUAAACCAGAUUCCAAAGAAGAAGAAAUACCAUCUCAAAAGGACAAAGAUAAUUCAAAGAGUGAGGAAAAAGACUCCAAAAAGAAAGAUGGCAACAGUGAAACGUGAUGAUUAUUUUUGUUCUUAUUUAUUCAUUACAUCGAUAAUUAAUAAUUAUGCAGGAAAAAGCAGUAUUUUUAGUUAUAAAUACAUGAUUUUCAUUCAAUCUGCCACUCAUAUGCUCAUAUACAUGGCAGUUCUGACAACAAUAGGCAAUUUUCUUUCACCCAUUUGUAAACACCAGAGGUCUGUUUUGCAGAGCUGACACUUGGGAGCAAUUGCCAAGAUUUAUGUGAUAGGGAUAGAGAAUUUUUGCAAUGCUUUCAACUUGUUCGAGUGCUAGUAAAGUGGCUUCAGAUUCAUAAUACCAGUACCUGCUGAUGCAUUCCAUAUUUUUAAAGGAACUUGUAUGUAAGGAACUUGCAUGUAAGGAACUUGUAUGUGCAAGACAUUUUUGAAUGUCAGGGUGCCCUCUGGCCUUUACAAUCUUGUAUGUAUCUGAUGAAAAUUGGAGUAUUGAAUAAAAGAGCAAGGUAAUUUAUCCCAGUACCCCAGUAAAAUAUGAGAGAGAGAGAGAGAGAGAGAGAGAGAGAGAGAGAGAGAGAGAGAGAGAGAGAGAGAGAGAGAGAGAGAGCUCUGAAAGUUUGUGUAUGGGAGAGAGAACAAACAGAAAGAUUUAUCCUUUUGAAGAUAGAUAUUUACAUUUAAUAUCAUUGUGCGAUUUGUUCCCUUCAUCCCAUCUUGGUCAUAUCAUAUGGCUGCCACAUAUCUAACCAAUUGGAUUAGUCUUGCUAAAUUCAUUUUCUCCGCUCUACGAUACUAAAGAAGAAUAUCUGAUGAAACAAUCUGAUUUUACUGAGGAAAAUGAACACUGUCAGAAAAGAAGUGCAUGUAUGAAAUAAGCUUGAAUUCAUGAUGAACAAUAGGUUUUGAAGAUAGUACAUGUUGAAAUCAUGUAUUGUAGUAGAAUUGUUUACCAUUUAUUUUAUUUUGUGCUUAUAAUUUCAGUGUGCAAUAAUUAUAUGUGUAUGUUAUGUAAAUCAAAGAAAACACAGAUAUUUGUACAAUGUAUACAAUUCUUGAUCUGCACUAAGCUAUCAGAUUCGUAAAGUAUUCCUAUACAUAGAUGUGAUAUCUCUAGAUCAAUUUAUUGUUAUUAGCUGUCCUAUAAAAUCUGCCCAAAAUUUAAAAAUGCAGCAUAUGAUAGUAAUCAUACCUGAACAAAAUUUACACACUUUUUAUAAAAAUAAAAUAUGUUUAAUUCUU